rnacentral:tRNA from 1 species
UGACCUUUUCGUCUAGUGGCUCAGGACGUUGCAUUCUCAGUGCGAAAACGCGUGGUUCAAAUCCCGCAAGGGUCGCCAU